UACGUAGGGCGCAAGCGUGUCCGGAAUUAUUGGGCGUAAAGAGCUCGUAGGCGGUCUGUCGCGUCGGUUGUGAAAACACAAGGCUCAACCUUGUGCCUGCAAUCGAUACGGGCAGACUAGAGUACUGCAGGGGAGACUGGAAUUCCUGGUGUAGCGGUGGAAUGCGCAGAUAUCAGGAGGAACACCGGUGGCGAAGGCGGGUCUCUUGGGCAGUAACUGACGC
rnacentral:rRNA from 1 species